ACAAUAUUUACUAAGGAUAUAGAAGUUUCAUAUUACAAAUUUGAAGAAUUUGCUUUCAAUUACUUUUAAGAGCCACAAAAUAAACAUGGGGGAGAACUUGGAAAGAAUUUGCAUAUGUUGUGGAUAUGGAUUCCUUCAUGUAGUAUCUGCUCAUAUAAAGCACCAGAAUGUGAAAUUGCAUAAUUGCAUUUCACAAGGUAUCAGAACACCCCAGUUAUGAUACAUUGUUCUGAUUAACAAUUUGGAUCUUUUUUUAACGCAAUGUUUUAUUUCAG
rnacentral:misc_RNA from 1 species